ensembl:miRNA Mir5134 microRNA 5134
UGAACAGACUUGGCAGAAAUGGCAGCUGUGAUGCUUGUCCUAGUUUUCAUGGGUGGCCCUCUUUCUGCAGGUACAUUC